UACAGAGGGUGCGAGCGUUGUCCGGAAUUACUGGGCGUAAAGGGCGCGUAGGCGGCUUGGUAAGUCGGGGGUGAAAGUCAGCGGCUCAACCGCUGGACUGCUUUCGAGACUGCCUGGCUUGAGCAUGGUAGAGGCUGGCGGAAUUCCCGGUGUAGCGGUGGAAUGCGUAGAGAUCGGGAAGAACAUCGGUGGCGAAGGCGGCCAGCUGGGCCAUUGCUGACGCUGAGGCGCGACAGCGUGGGGAGCAAACAGG
rnacentral:rRNA from 1 species